AUAUUCCUUUCUCUCAGCAAUUUCAAAUUUUGAAUCUCAAGAAACCAUUUAUACUUCUCAGAUCCAUAUCUAUCUAGAGUAAUCCGCUUUCUCAAGAAACCAUAUCUACUUCUCAGAGACAAAAUCGAGAUCCAUCUAGAGUAAUUCGCACACUUCCACCCAUAUCUGUUGACCUGCUUGAAAUUUCCGCCGCUGAUACUCCGGCGACCGGCGUUGUUGCUCGCUUCGCCGUUAGGUCUCACCAGUUCUACACUGAUGGAAUCUUUGAUGCACGAUUACAGGAGAUUUAUUUCAUCACCUGGCAGAACUCAGGUUGCUAUUGGAACACAUGACUUGUACACAAUAGACGGCCCAUUAACGUAUGAGGCUUUGCCACCGUCAGAGAUAGAGUUCAAUCCACUAAAACAUGUAAAAAGAGGUGGAAACUUUCAAAGUUGAUAAGCUGAUGGAAUUUACAAGUCUGAUUUGAAACUGAAGAAAGACUUGCACAUAAUUGAAGAUUUACCCGUUUACCCUUUUAUUUAUGAUCCAAACAGAACCGUUUUGUCUCUUCCGCCAAUAAUUAACAAAGCACACUCGGCUAUCUCUUGGAAGACCAAAAACAUGUUCAUCAAAUGCACAGCCACCGAUUUGACCAAGCUUUGCAGGCUUUCAACAUAUUUUUGUUAAAAAAAUUGCAGGUCUUUUAACAAUUUUUUUAGACCAAGUUGACUAGACCUGACCCAACCCGAAACCCGUUCCGACCCAGACCUGUUUUGACCCGAACCCAAGAUUUUAGUAUUUUAUGUCAAGGUUUAAACUUAAAGUUAUACUCUUUCAUUUAUAUGUCAAGGUUUUAAUUUUUUUAUUGGGUUUAUAAACUAACUUUAAGUGUUCUCUCGGUCGUAACACUUUUGAUCUUCGUCACCAUCUAAAGUUAGAGUUUCUGUCAAAAUAUAUAUGUAAUGAUCAAUAUUCACUUUUUUUGGGAUAUCCUGUAAUUGUUACCAUAGAACACUGUUUUACCACUUCCUGGGUGCUCAUCCCAAUCCGUAAUAUCAAGCAUUAAACAAA